GGUUGGCAUUCGUGUUCCCCCGGCGAAUACACCUGCGAGUACACCUGCGAAUACACCUGCGAAUACACCUGCGAAUACACCUGCGAGUACACCUGCAAGUACACCUGCGAAUACACCUGCGAAUACACCUGCGAAUACACCUGCAAGUACACCUGCGAAUACACCUGCGAACACACCUGCAAAAUCUAAAUCAACUCCAGUCUGGGUUAUCAUUGUCGCUGUGCUAGGUGGAGUCUUGUUGCUUGCUCUCGCCAUUUUGGCUUCUUUGUUUAAGGUGACUGAUAUAAACAUUUUAAUAAUAAUAGCAAUUGAGAAGAAAAGUGUUUUGUACAGAUCAAAACUUUAUUUUGAUAGCCAGUGUGAUUUAUUUCAAAAUCUUUUUCCAAGUAUGUAUUUAAAAUUAGACAAUGUCUACAAAAUGUAAGAAGUUAUGACGCCAAUUUUUAUCACUCUUACAUUUUAGCUUGGUUUCUUCAAAAGAAACCGACGUAUAGAAGUCUUGCAACCUGGUUUUCAAAUGAAUUAAUUUGGUAAAGAUUAAAAUUAUAGACGAGAGUCAAGUCAAGUUAAGUUUAGAAAUUAUUAAUUUACUGCACGUUAAUUUUUCCAAUUUUGGAAGUGAUAUGAAAGUGGGUGUAAUGAAUGGCUCAAAACCAUUGAAAUUUUGAUUGCAUGUUUAUCCUAAUUUUACAUAGUUUUAUUUGUUGAUUGUAGUUUAGUGCACGAAAUUAAAUUUGCAUGCGUAGGUAUUAAUAAUUUGUGAUAUUAGUAAUGAUAAUUUGUAAACUUAGUAAUAUUAGUUAAAGUAGGAAAAAGCAUUGAGAAACAGUCCAACACUUUUGGCAACUGCUGUCCUAAUUGUAAUUAUCGAGGACUAUAGUUUGCUGUCUUUAAUAUUUUCAAUAAUAUAGGCAAGCUUAAAAAGAAUUAUCAUAUAGAGUUGUAUGUAUAGUUUUUGUAACUUUUUGUAGUACUUGUAUUUUCAUGUUUCUUGGAGAUGUAAAUAAGUC